rnacentral:ncRNA from 1 species
ACUGACAGAGCCAGUGAGUUUUUCACCUUGGCCAGAAGGUCUGGGUAAUCUUGUGAAACUCUGUCAUGCUGGGGAUAGAGCAUUGCAAUUAUUGCUCUUCAAC